CCCAUCCCCACCACACCCUCAAACGCAGCCGAUGCCCCAUCCCCAAAACUGUCUGUUCUCCGUUGCCGCCCUAGCUUGCUGUCCGCCGCCACUAAAGGUUGUCAAUUGCCGGAAUUAAGGUAGAUUUGCUAGAUAAGAAAGUAGCAACAGAGACAAAGUCUUUUUGGAAGCCGGAACAUGAGUCAUUAGUAGCGCAGAAUUUCGAGAAAAAGGCGGGGACUAUACUUAAGCAUGAGUUGCAUAGAGCCCGUGAAAAAGUCCUGAAGCCUAAGUAGAUCCAUGAUGAUAACUGGAAGAAACUGCUGCACUUCUGGGCGACUGAUUCGAUGUUUUUGAAGCAAAGUGAAAAUGGGAAGAAGACCACGGCCUCAGAUAAGGGUGGAUUUCGACACACUAGUGGGGUCACCAGCCAUGAAGUCGUUAGGAUGAAGCUGGUAUGUGACCCUAUUUAGCUUUGACUGUCUAUUAUGCAAUUUAAUAUUUCUAUUGCUUUGGUUACGUUACUAGCAAUAAUCCAAUCAAAUUCUUCUUGAUUGUACUCAUCUUGAAUUUCAAGUACCGGCAACAUUGUAUCAUUAAUUUUAGUGAAAGAAGAAUGAAGAAAUGAAUAGGAUUCUUGUGAAGUGAAA